CUCUAUAUCAGCCUAGAGGGGUCUGUCCUAUAACCGAUAAUCCACGAAGAACCUUACCACCUCUUGCCACCAGCCUAUAUACCGCCGUCUUCAGCACAUUUCACAAAAAAUGAAGCCAAAUAGUCUCACACACUAGCACGUCAGGUCAAGGUGUAGCUUAUGGAGUGGAAGAGAUGGACCACAAUACCACAACACACAGAAACCACGCUGAAACACGAGGAAAAAGACGAAUUUAGCAGUAAGGGGGGCUGAAUACCCCACUGAACAGCCCCGCCCUAGAGUACGCACACACCGCCCGUCACCCU
rnacentral:rRNA from 1 species